rnacentral:lncRNA from 1 species
CCAAAACCAAAGUCCAAUCCAUAUUGGCAACCACUAAAAGUCCAUUUUGCUGACAUCUUCAUAAAAUCAAAUCCAAUCAACAUUGGUACCUAAAAAUAAUCUCACCCUUGAAAAAGGGUGACCAAUCCGAAAACCAAUCACCUUCAUGCAUUCCCACAUGCAUUUCAAAUAAUAUACAUUCAUAACUCUCUUGACGAAACGAGAAAUUUUCAUUAACAUGCACCAUAUGCAUACAUAACAUAAUCUUUU